rnacentral:rRNA from 1 species
UACGGGGGGGGCAAGCGUUGUUCGGAAUUACUGGGCGUAAAGGGCUCGUAGGUGGCCAACUAAGUCGGACGUGAAAUCCCUCGGCUUAACCGGGGAACUGCGUCCGAUACUGGUUGGCUUGAGUUUGGGAGAGGGAUGCAGAAUUCCAGGUGUAGCGGUGAAAUGCGUAGAUAUCUGGAGGAAUACCGGUGGCGAAGGCGGCAUCCUGGACCGACAUUGACGCUGAUGAGCGAAAGCUAGGGGAGCAAACGGG